rnacentral:rRNA from 1 species
ACGCUGGCGGCGUGCCUAAUACAUGCAAGUCGAACGGUCUUUCUAUGGAAGCUUGCUUCCACUGAGAAGAUAGUGGCGAACGGGUGAGUAACACGUGGGUAACCUGCCCAUAAGAGGGGGAUAACAUCCGGAAACGGGUGCUAAUACCGCAUAGUUUUCUUGAUCGCAUGAUUGAGAAAGGAAAGACGGCCUUUGUGCUGUCGCUUAUGGAUGGACCCGCGGCGUAUUAGUUAGUUGGUGAGGUAACGGCUCACCAAGACGAUGAUACGUAGCCGACCUGAGAGGGUGAUCGGCCACAUUGGGACUGAGACACGGCCCAAACUCCUACGGGAGGCAGCAGUAGGGAAUCUUCCGCAAUGGACGAAAGUCUGACGGAGCAACGCCGCGUGAGUGAAGAAAAGGUUUUCGGAUCGUAAAACUCUGUUGUCAGAGAAGAACAAGUUGGAGAGUAACUGCUCCAGCCUUGACGGUAUCUGACCAGAAAGCCACGGCUAACUACGUGCCAGCAGCCGC